GCUGGGCGUGGUGGUUCACGCCUGUAAUCCCAGCACUUUGGGAGGCGGAGGUGGGUGGAUCACCUGAGGUCAGGAGUUUGAGACCAGCCUGGCCAACAUGGUGAAAUCCCAUCUCUA
rnacentral:SRP_RNA from 1 species